UUGUUUAAUUGGGUAUUAGGUUAAGAAAAUUUAGCACUUCUUCUCCAGAGUUUUCUACAGUGCCGCGAUCCCACUGCAGUCAAGUCGAACGACUUCUUCCCUUCGAGCGACGACGGCUCUUCCCUAACACGCGGUGAACGACAACAGCGUAUACGACAUCUAGCAGAUCUCUGGCCUCAAGCCUGUCUUUCUCUAUGCGUCGUCCCACAGAUCUUCGACCUCAAGCCCUUCCCGCCGACCUCACAUGCUUCCAACUGAUUUCUCUCAUAGAUAUGCAAACAUACCCCGAAAAUUGUAAGUAUUUGGAUGGAGUACAUGAUAUAACAAGGAUGAUGGUGCAUUUUGGAAAACCAUUAGCGCAUGUAAAAGCAUGCUAUACUGUUUUUCAGACCACAUGCUUGGAAUGUGUCACUACAAGUUUCCAUGACUGUAACAGAUGUGAACUCAGAUGAGUGCUUGAUGACAAGAAUGCAAGAAAUGUCACUGGAUUACCAUUUCAUAGCUGAAUGCACUUUUACUGCAACUAUACCGAGAACAGAAUGAAUUAAUGUCAUCAUAGAAGCUGCUAAAGAACGAUUUAGUGAUUCUCAAAGAAAAUAAGCAACAGGUUCUACGAGUUUGGUGAAGAGUAAUUAAGAGAAGAAGAGAAAGGGAUUAGUGCUGAAUAUAGAACCGCCGCAGAUACAGAAUCUUAUAGAAUGAACUAGGUGGCUCAAGACACGUUUUUAAGUGGUUCGAAGGUAAGGAGAUAAUGGGCCGCACGGCCCAACCCAGCCGUGGAUAUCUGAACACGCACGUUCCUGCUGCGUGUCCGAGAAGUCAGGGAGAUAUCAGACACGUAAUGUCAGAUAAUUGCACGUUUAUCUUGCGUGUGUUGACUUUACAGAGGGUCAGAGCUCCAUACACAGCUCGUGACACGAGCUGCUCCCUUGACCCGACCUUCGGCCUUCGGAUUCCUUCACCCAGUCCUGGGCAACCUUGGCGAGUCCUCAGGGGUUGCUCGAGCUAAUAAGGUACGACCUCGAAACGGGAGCUCCGGUCUUGGGGAUGUUAAUGGGCUAAUCGUGAUUAGUCCGUAGCUCGGCCUGCUAAUCAGCCCGUGGGAAAAUCAGGGCAUACAUCUGCCCCCCAAGCUCCUGCUCGUGGUAUAUGACGUCGCAUAUAAGACCACAGUAGGGGCUUUUAGACUUCCCCAUAAACUCUUCGCAUUCCACUCUUUACGCAGGCGUCUGAUACGUGGAACGUUGUGGGUGGUGACGGUACGUCUUACGAGAACCACAUUUAAUGGCCUAGCCUAUGCCCAGCCGUCGUUUCGUAUUUCGAGUGGAAGGCCUCGGAUCCCUCACCAGGGCCACCCAAGAGCCUUCUACACGUGAUCCUUCACGUAUAUAAAAAGGGGUGGCCACCCCACGCACGGGCCACCCUUUCAUUCAAAAUUUUCCAAACCUCCUUUUCUCUUCCUUCUCCAUAUUUCAGAAGAACGAAACCCUCAACCCUGUUGCUGCCAUUUUCAUAGUCCAUGAAGCUUAGGCGCACGGAUUUCUUCGAAGCUUUGGAAGCUACUACACCGACAAAGCUCUUACCAACGCAACGCCCUCGUCUACUUCCUAGCCAUACACUGUAAGUUUCCUGACCCUGUUCACUUUGAAAACAUGCUACUGUAGCCGCAUGCAAGGGUUUUCUGGAUUGUGUGGAUAUGGAGGGUGGCAGCCCUUUUUAGGUUAGGGCACAUUUGUUGUAAGAAAUCGCUUUAGCGUAUGGGUUUCAGGGUGCUUUUUCUGGACAAAUUUCUGGGUAGGAGUUUUGGGAAUUUUCGGGUGCAAAACCGGGUAGCUUAGGGAAUACGCCUCAUAAGCGGUUUUGUAAUUUUCUGCCUAUUGCAACUUUCCCUCCAAGGCAAAUUAUAUUCUGAACUCCCUGACACGCGAAUUCCGAGUAAUCUGGGAUUUGUUGGGAGCAUACGCGCGUGUUCACUGAACCGCGUGGUUCCACUCUCCACGAGCUGGGCUUACCUCAGCUCGUGCAAAUAAUAACUGCUUCUCCCUCCUGCUUGGGUUGCCUUUUCUAAAGUGUUUUCUUUUGUUCGCUAGGUGACCAGAUGGUUCCAAAAAAGAACCUCCCUCAGAAGAACGUUGGAAGCUCGGCCUCCCAGCAGGAAAAAGGAAAGGCGGUGAUACCUAGCUCCCCGAUCCCCCGCUUCGGGCUGGCUGUGGAGAAGGAGGUCGAGGUGGCCCCCGACGCAUUCUUUGAGGCGGAGAGAAUCGUCUCAAAGGUAACCGACCAGGCGAAGAUCAACAAACUCUUCCUCACUCACAACAUUCCACUGGGGAAAGCCUCCGUUAUUGCCCGACCUGCCGCAGAUGGCGAGCGGAGCUGCACACCGCUCGAUGAAUCGUUCGCGGCCUGGAGCGGUGAACACUUCAAGGCAGGGGCCUUCCUUCCCCUGGAUCAGUACUUCUCUGAUUUCCUGAACUACGUAGGGUUGGCCCCUUUUCAGCUCCCCCCCAACUCCUACCGUCUGCUGGCAGGGUUGAGGUAUUUAUUCAAGAAGCAGGAGUGGGAGGUCCCUACUCCGGCUGAUAUUUUAUAUUUCUUUUGUCUCAAAGCCAGCCCGGAUCAGCGGGGGCGAGGUGACGGGUUUUACUAUUUAACCCGUUUUCCCAAUACGGCGGCGGUGAUCGAGCUGCCCAGCCACCCAAAUGACUUUAAGGACCAGUUCUUCAUGGCAACUGGGUUCCGGAACUGCGACCACCACUAUUUCAAUCGUCCUCGUAAGUAAUCCCUGAUCUUAGCUCGCCUUUUAAGUGUUAUUUUAUUUUAGCUCCUCCCGUAUUCCAUUCUGAUUCUAGCCAAUCCUGCAGCCAUCUACGCGAGGACCGAAAAGUCUGUGACCCUCGGGGGCCAAUAUGAAACACUGGCGGGCUUGCCCCCCAGUGAGAAGGACUACCGCGUGCUCGUGACAGACGAGACGAUGGUGUUCUGCAAACUGAUCUUCCCAAACCAGACCCUGAACCUGAAGAGGCCCCGGGGGCCACCCCCAGCCCGUGACAACAGACCUAUCAUCGUGGAGGAGGUCGCGGUAGAGGAAGACGAGGAGGACGAGGUGCCCGAAGUUCCGCUCGUGAGGAACAGGAAGAGGACCUUGGAGGUCGCCCAGAGGACGGGCGAGGAGAGGGUCCGAUCCGGAGCAGCCGUGAGUCCUUCUGGCCAAGGUAACCCUUACUUGUUUAAGAGUCUACAUAGGGCCACUGCAGACCCCCGGCUCGUUAGGUUCAAUCCUAGGCAGAUCGUCCAUCGUCACCAAAGGGAUCCGGACCUGAACACACUCCUGCUCCAUUGUGUUGAUCGGCUCGUGCUGGAUCACCAAGAGAGCCGGCCUAGGGGUACCGUAGUAGUAGAUAACACCCUAGCUUUUAGGUCGAUCUUAUUCGAGGAGUAUGGGACCAACCUACGCACAUGGCCAUCACUCCAGAGGGGUAACUAUGCUCCGGGGCUUAGGCAGUAUGUAGAAAAGUCUAGCCCUGAGUCAGAACCGGACCUAGAACCUGCGCUAGUUCGUGAAAUAAUCAUCUUAGGUUCUUCCAGCUCGGGGGAAGAGAUGUCUCAGCCCGAGGACAGCUUGCGGGGCAUAGUCUUCGGGGGGAACCCCCCAGCCGGGCCAAGAACGAAAAGGCUCCGGGGUUCCAAGAGCUCUGCCGGGGUCUCCACUAAAUCUCCUGCAAAGGAGAAGGAGAAAGCCCCGCCAGCCCAGAACGCGGGAGCGAUUCUUCUUGCUGCCGGAGCAGGCCAAAUGCCUUCGCCACCUUAGCGAACUCCAACCGUCACCCAGGACGCAGGGAUGGAGCUCGGGACUCCGCCUAUGGUGGCCUCCGAUGUACGCAUCCCGGUCAAUCCCCAGGACCUGGAGAAGAUCCCAGAGGUCUUUCGGGGAACGAUGUACGAAUCGGCGAGCUACGCUGUUAACCAUAUCUACAAGUUCACCGAGAAGGAACUCCGGACUAUUGAGACGAUGAGCCCGAUUGACGUCAUGGAUUCUUCCAUGAGCAUGACCCUAACGGGUGUCGUCGCCCUUCACCGAAGCAUCAUCAAGGCCAGGACUCAGCUCGGUGACAUGAGGAUCGAGCACCAGGCCACCCUUCAGGAGGUUAAGGCGGCCAAGGAUGCCCUGGCGACCUCGAAGGGCGAGUUGGAGAGGGCCCAAGUCAACCUGGAGAAGACCCGUUCGAAGGUCCAGGAGCUCGAGACAUCCCUUGCCACCUCGCAGGCGGACCUUGAGGCAGCGAGGACAGAAGUCCAGGCCGCCCUGGAGGAAGAGAAGACCAUCUCGGAGCAGUCCAUGCAGGAUCUGUUCUACCACUGUUGGCUCCAUAAUCCGGAGGCUGACUUCUCUUUCAUGCCACCGAAUUUCUGGGCGCGCUUGUUGGUGAAGUUCCAAGCUCGCUUCGACAAAGAGGCACCACCUUCGGAGACUGGGGAAGCCUCUGGUGCGGCGGAGCAAGAUGAAACGGCGACCUCCAAAGGGCCGACUGACGGAGCUUAGGGCGCUCUUCUCUUUUUAUAUUUUGAAGUGUUUUUUGUAACUUUUGCGUGAGGUGUCCUUACCUCGAGACAAUUUGCCUUGCGCUUUUACCUCAUAUUUUUUUUUAUAAACUUAGCUCGAGUUAAUUUUUAUCCAUAUCUUGAACUUUUUAAGAAGAACAACGAUCAAUAAAUUUAAGUUAACUUCCAAGUCUUACGAGCUAGUUAAAACCAGGAACUUAUUUUGACAACUUAGUUCGUGUUAACUUUUAUCCAUAUCUCGAGUUCUUUAAGAAGAACCACGAUCAAUAAAUUUAAGUUAACUUCUAAGUUUUACGACCUAGUUAAAACCAUGAACUUAUUUUGACAACUUAGUUCGUGUUAACUUUUAUCCAUAUCUCGAGUUCUUUAAGAAGAACCACGAUCAAUAAAUUUAAGUUAACUUCUAAGUUUUACGACCUAGUUAAAACCAGGAUAGGACUUAGUUGGCGUUAACCCUUAUCCGUGUCUCGAGCUCUUUAAGAAGAGCAACGAUCCAUAGAUAAAAAUCAACAUCUAAGUCAUUAAGGAGACCUGGUUAUAUCCAGGUACCAUAUGCCCCCCAAGUAACUGGGAAAUGGUCUUUCAUGGUUACUUUAAGAUUACAAUUGCAAAUGUGCGUAAAAAGCUGAUUUUUAUUAAUAUAUAUAGAAAGUGGCCUUCCAGGCCUUACAAGUGGAUCAUUGAUAAUAUUUCUUUAAGUGGAUGGCGUUCCAGGUCUGUGGUACGGUUCCUCCAUCAAGUCAGGCUAACUUAUAAGUUCCUUCCUUGAUGAUUUCGAUGACCUGGUAUGGUCCUUCCCAGUUCGGUCCCAAGACUCCAUCCUUGGGAUCUUUCUCGGCCAGGAAAACUCUCCUUAGGACCAAGUCGCCAACGUUAAAGGUGCGCCUUUUGACUUUAGAGUUGAAGUAGCGAGUGAUCUUCUGCUGAUAAUGGGUGAGCUGGAGUUGCGAAUCCUCUCGCCUUUCAUCAAUUAGAUCGAGGGAAUGGCACAGGAGCUCAUGGUUCUGAUCUUGGUCGUAAGACUGGACUCUAUGUGACAGAACCUCAACUUCCACGGGGAGGACUGCUUCACUCCCAAAGGUUAGGGAGAAAGGAGUAUGACCCGUAGGAGUCCGAUGCGAGGUCCGGUAUGCCCAUAGGACCUGGGGGAGCUGUUCUGGCCAGACCCCCUUUGCCUCAUCUAAUCUCUUCUUGAGGCUCGCCUUUAGAGUCUUGUUGACAGCCUCAACCUGGCCGUUCGCCUGAGGAUAGGCCACGGAGGAGAAGCUUUUUACAAUCCCGUGCCUUUCACAAAACUCGGUGAACAGGUCGCUAUCGAACUGAGUGCCGUUGUCGGAGACGAUUUUCUUCGGUAGAACGAAUCGACAGAUGAUGCUUUUAACUACGAAGUCGAGUACCUUCUUCGAUGUUAUUGUUGCCAAUGGCUCUGCCUCGGCCCACUUAGUGAAGUAGUCUAUGGCUACCACGGCGUAACAGACUCCGCCCUUGCCAGUGGGCAGAGCGCCCACUAGGUCUAUUCCCCAAACAGCAAACGGCCAAGGGGUCGAGAUCAUCCUCAGCUCGACUGGAGGAGCUAGGGCAACUGCAGCGAAUCGCUGGCAUUUGUCGCACUUCUUCACAUAUGAGAUCGCGUCUUUGGACAGAGUUGACCAGUAAUAACCUUGCCUGAGAACCUUUAAGGCCAGGCUUUGCCCCCCAGUGUGGUCUCCGCAGAAUCCUUCGUGGAUUUCCUGCAGGAUGGCCUUCGCCUCACCUGGAAGAAUGCAUCGGAGGAGAGGUAGGGAGUGCCCACGUCGGUACAAUAACCCAUCGACUAUUGUAUAUCUAGGGACUUGAUAUAGGACUCGCCGCGCGUCGUUACGUCCUUCAGGCAGCUUGCCCUCGACGAGAUAUUCAAGAAUGGGGGUCAUCCAGGUCGGUCGAGCAUCAAUCAUCUCGACCUCUGCCCGAUCUCCGUCUAUACUUGGUUUUUCCAAGAAUUCUAUUGGCACCAACCCCAGAGUCUUCGUCUCUCCCGAGGUGGCGAGUUUGGCAAGGGCAUCUGCAUUGGCGUUCUAUUCUCGAGGUAUCUGUUCGAUCGAUCCUUACUCAAAUGCGAACAGCUCGGCUUUUACCUUUGCCAAAUAGGCGGCCAUCUUGGGUCCCCGUGCCUGAUAUUCGCCCAGGACCUGGUUUACCACGAGCUGGGAGUCACUGAAGCACUGGACGGAGCUCGCUUUUAACUCAUUGGCUAUCCUCAACCCGGCUAACAAAGCUUCGUAUUCCGCCUCGUUGUUGGAGGCCUUGAACCCGAACCUUAGCGCCGAGUGGAACCUAUGUCCCUCGGGGGAGAUCAGAAUGAUUCCGACCCCGGAACCAUUCUCGUUGGAUGAACCAUCCACAAAGAUCUUCCACAACGACUCAGGCGAGGUCAGCUGAGAUGAGCCUUCUGAUGGAUCCUCCUGGAAUCCCGUGCACUCUGCCACGAAGUCGGCCAAGGCCUGACUUUUUAUGGAAGUUCGUGGAGUAUAGAAAAUCUCGAACUGACUGAGUUCGACCGCCCACUUUAACAAACGUCCCGAUGCUUCAGGUUUUUGCAAAACCUGCCUUAGAGGCUGAUCGGUCAUGACGUGUACCGAGUGGGACUGGAAGUAUGGUCUGAGCUUUCGCGAGGCCGUGAUUAGGCAGAACGCCAAUUUUUCCAUCAGUGGGUACCGUGAUUCCACGUCCUUAGUGAUGGCCAGGUAGAGGAAGAGAGACUCUCCUGCCUUAGGCUUGGAUAGCACAGGUGGUUCGGCCAGAUGUGCCUUCAGGUCGAGGAAUGCGCUUUCGCACUCUACUGUCCAUUCAAACUUCUUGUUUCCCCGGAGCAGGUUGUAGAAGGGCAAACAUUUAUCGGUUGACUUUGAAAUGAACCGGUUGAGUGCUGCUACCCUUCCUGUGAGGCCUUGGACAUCUUUCCGCGACCUGGGGGAAGGAAGCUCGAGCAAUGACUUGAUCUUGUCGUGGUUUGCCUCGAUUCCUCGAGUAUUAACUAUGAACCCCAGGAAUUUCCCGGACGCGACACCAAAAGUGCACUUAUGGGGAUUGAGCCUCAUUUCGUAUUUUAGUAGUAUUUUAAAACAUUCUUCCAGGUCGGAAACAUGGUUGUCGGCAGUCUUUGACUUGACGAGCAUGUCAUCAACAUAUACUUCCAUGUUCUUUCCGAUCUGGUCCGCGAACAUUCUGUUCACUAGCCUUUGGUAGGUAGCUCCGGCGUUCUUCAGACUGAACGGCAUGACCUUGUAGCAAUAGACAUUAGUCGGGGUCAUGAAGCUAGUGUGUUCCUGAUCCGCCGGAUUCAUCACGAUCUGGUUGUAGCCUGAGUACGCGUUCACAAAGGACAUGAGCUCGUGCCCCGCCGUGGCGUCCACCAGCUAGUCGAUCCUUGGCAAUGGAAAACAAUCCUUGGGGCAGACCUUAUUUAGAUCGGAGAAGUCAAUGCAAGUCUGCCAUUUCCCGUUGGGCUUCGGAACUAGCACGGGAUUGGCGACCCAAAUUGGAAAUUUGGCCUCGCGGAUAAAGCCACAUUUUUUGAGUCAGGCUACCUCUUCUUCUAGGGCUUCAUCUCGGGUUGUCCCUAAACGCCUUUGCUUUUGAGACUUGGCAGGAACACUUUUAUCCAGAUGGAGCGUGUGCAUGAUGACACUCGGGCUAAUUCCUACCAUAUCCUCGUGGGACCAGGCAAAUACAUCUAAAUUAGCCCGGAGAAACGUAACCAGCUCCGUCUUCCUCUUGCUACAGAGGUUUUUCCCGAGCUUGACCAUCCGUGACGGAAUUUGCGGAUCGAGGUUCACCACUUCGAGCUCCUCAAUGGCCUGGAGCUCGGAUCUGUCUUCGCCUACUUGGGGGUCAAUGUCCUCACUCAAGGCGACCUUUUCCUCUUCGGCACUCUGAGGUUUUUCAAUCUCAGGAUCCACCAAGGGUCCCUGAGAUUCCUCUUUGCCCUGAAUGGCCAUUGCCAGCUGCCCGGGUUUAGAUUUUCCCUUCAUGGAAAUGCUGUAGCAUUCCCUGGCAGCGAGCUCAUCGCCCUUGAUAGUACAGAUUCCGGUCGAGGUAGGGAACUUCAUGGCGAGGUGUCGAAUGGAAGUGAUAGCCUCGAAGGCUAUGAGGGUAGGCCGGCCUAAAAUGGCGUUGUAGGCAGCGGAGCAGUCAAUAACCACGAACUCAAGUAGCUUGGAGACUGUUUGAGAUUCUUCUCCUAGGGUGAUCACCAGCUCGAUCGUCCCUAUCGCUGCCGACCCUUCUCCUGAAAAGCCAUACAGCAUCAUGGAGGUCGCCUUUAGCUCGGCGACAGUCAAUCCCAUCUUUUCUAAAGUGGAUCGGAAUAGGAGAUUUACCGAGCAUCCGUUGUCCACCAACACUCUCCUUAUUCUCUGAUUGGCAAGCUGGACUGCUACGACCAAGGGAUCAUUAUGAGGGAACUGGACAUGACCUGCGUCUUCCUCCGUAAAAGUGAUCGGUUGCUUCUCUGACCGCUGCUGUUUCAACCGACGCUACUCCGGGACGAACUCCGUUCCAUUGUGGGUCUUUAAUUCAUUCACAUAUCUCUUCUGGGCGCCUCUGCUCGUUCCAGCCAUGUGCGGUCCUCCAGAGAUGGUGGAUAUCUCUCAUUCGAUCACGUGAGGAGGGACGUCCUGAUCCACACGAGGCCCGGGCUGACUGGCUUGGACUUUUGGAGCGGGUCGACCCGCUGGGACCCUGUUUCGUGAGUAUUGCGCCAAGGGGCCUGCUCGGAUGAGAGUCUCGAUCUCAUCUUUUAGAUGCCUGCAAUCGUCGGUAUUGUGGCCGACGUCAUUGUGAAAAUGGCAGAAUUUGGAAGUGUCUCUCUUUCCCUUGUGGUGUUUCAAUGGUUCCGGCCUCUUCCAGGGGACCCGAGUAGAGUUGGCCAGGAAGAUACUUUCCCUGGACUGGGUGAGCUCGGUAUACGCUGUGAACACGGGCUUGAACUUAUCCACGGACUUAUUCUUCUUUUGACCGUGCUGACUGUUUUCACCAUUCCCCUUUCUUUUGCCACCACCGGGCUGGUUGUUCUGCGCGACGUCGGGGGUCGCCAUCACGAUCUCCGUCCCCAUUCCAGCGGGCUUCUCGGGAACCUGACUGGUCCCCGCGGCUGAAGCUUCAGCUUCUUCCAAGUUUAUCCACUCUUGGGCUCUGUUAAGGAAUUCGUUAACCGAGCUGACUCCCUUCCUCUGAAUGUCUUUCCACAGGUCUCCCCCGACCAGGAUUCCGGUUCUCAUGGCCAUGAGCUUGGAGCUAUCAUCUGCGUCCCUGGCUCGAGCAGCGACAUUUGCGAAUCUGCUCAAGUAGGCUUUCAGCGUCUCAUCGGGCUGCUGCCUUACGUUGGCUAGGGAGUUGGCCUGAACACGGGCGGCCUGAGAGGCGCGGAACGCCCUUUUGAAAUCAGCAGAGAAUGUCUUCCAGGAGCUGAUUGACUGUCUUUUACUCUGCUUGAACCACUUCCUGGCAGGUCCAGUUAGUGUGGAUGGGAAGAUCAAGCAACGCAGCUCCGGACCGAUGUUAUGGGCCAUCAUUAGAGUGUUGAACAUCCCUAAAUGAUCUGACGGAUCUCCGUCCCCGUUGAACUUGGACAAGUGAGGCAUACGAAAACUAGAUGGGUAUGCCGUCGCUGCUAUGUUGGGGGCGAAGAGUUCCAUCUCGUCUCCCGAAUCAUAUUCGUCUUUUUUUUUUUCUGAUAGGAGUUUCCUCAUCAAUUCCUCCAUUUUAGUUAGGCGCUCAAGGGUUUGGUCCUGAGAUCCUGGGUCAUUCCGGGGCUGCUCAACAGCUCCGGACCCAUUGUACAUAUUAGGUGGGUUAUUGCCCCUCCUAUCUUGAGAUAGAUUAUUUGGGACAUUCCCUCCGUUAUGUACUUCAGAUCGGACCCCCCCCCCAGCGAGCUUGGCUACCAUCUCUAGCUCGGUCCUCUCUGUGAGAGUUGAGGUGAUCUCGAAGGUCGUCUCCCUGGGCGGUCCGGUGGCUUUGUGCCGAACUUAGCCGCUGGCGUAGGUCUCCUCCAGAGAGAUCACUUCGGCGACUGCCGGUCCAAUAACUCCUGCCGGAUAGGCUUGGAGUCCGCAUUUGGUGGUGAGGACCUGAGCUUUCUUCGGGCGCCCUGCUACGCCGGGAAGGUCCCGCUGAUGGUGGGUUUCUCCUACUACUUCCGUAAGCUGGGAUGUCUCGGACGGGCAGAGGAGGAGACGGAUAUCUGAUCGGAGAUGGAGGAUGCCUGACUUGAGAAGUGAUCCGGUUCCGUCUGGACGGAUCAAAUUUGGUGGGGGCCUUUCGGCCCUGCCAACUUGCUGGUCCCGAGCCGGGCGAUCUGGACGAGGCGCAGGACGUUCUUCGGGGAUGGGCUGACAUCGUGGGCCCUCCCCGGAUCUCCUCCGGGAACUUCCUCGAGCUCUUCUGGGCGUCCUCGAGGAUGGUUGAGAGCUAGGAGUCGACGUCCUAACCGAACGACUGUAUUGCUGUUGUCCGGUCCCAGGCAUUCCCCUGAAGCUGGCCUCUCGAUGGUGUGAUGAAGGGGUGGAGUUGGCUGCCGGAAGUCUAUCCAAACGGCUAUGCCUGGACCGAUUACCCCGGCGAGACUUUGGAGCCUCACCUUGCCUCUCUCCAAUGUUAACGUUGGUUGUGAGAGGGGGUAGUCAGGCCAGAAUAUCCUGGAUUUGCUGACCGGCUGCUGCUAACUGGCUCCUCAGUUGAGCAUUCUCCAUCUCCACCGCAGUAUAAUAGCAUGGGUUUGGAUUAGGUGGCCGGGGCGCCGAACUACCUGUAUCGUCCUGGCCCGCCGGCUGCUUUCCUGGCCUCUGUUGGACUUCAGGAAUUUGUUCGUCAGGGAUGGCAAUAUGAUGAGCCUCCUGCCCAUCAUGCUGCUCUGUUUCGUUGCCAUGCCUGGACCGAGUGGUCACCAUAGUUGGAUGUUUGCAGCAGCACUAAUCGAACGUCCUCUCAAUGAAAGCACCAAACUGUUGACGCGGUUCUUCGGCAACAGGUAAUUAAGAGAAGAAGAGAAAGGGAUUAGUGCUGAAUAUAGAACUGCCGCAGAUACAGAAUCUUAGAGAAUGAACUAGGUGGCUCAAGACACGUUUUUAAGUGGUUCGAAGGUUAAAAUCCCUCUACUCCACUAGUCAAUAUUAUUGAUAUAUUCUGGGUAUUUGGUUACAAAGCCUAUAUCUCUUCAGAUACUAUUUUUCCCAACCCCUAUCAGCUCCCAGGUUCUCCAUAUUUAUAGGAGAAGGCACCUGGAAGUUGGUAAGGAGGUCAUCCCGUGACCUUAUUAUUUGUCAUAUCAACUCUGUGACAUUCAUGAUUAAUUCCUAAACCUGACACAUAAGUAUGGUCAAAUCGAUAUGUAAGGAGAUAAUGGGCCGCACGGCCCAACCCAGCCGUGGAUAUCUGAACACGCACGUUCCUGCUGCGUGUCCGAGAAGUCAGGGAGAUAUCGGACACGUGAUGUCAGAUAUAUGCACGUUUAUCUUGCGUGUGUUGACUUUACAGAGGGUCAGAGCUCCAUACACAGCUCGUGACACGAGCUGCUCCCUUGACCCGACCUUCGGCCUUCGGAUUCCUUCACCCAGUCCUGGGCAACCUUGGCGAGUCCUCAGGGGUUGCUCGAGCUAAUAAGGUACGACCUCGAAACGGGAGCUCCGGUCUUGGGGAUGUUAAUGGGCUAAUCGUGAUUAGUCCGUAGCUCGGCCUGCCAAUCAGCCCGUGGGAAAACCAGGGCGUACAAUAAUAAUAAGUUUCACGUUUUUAGAAAUAUGUUGUAAACUUAAAUUCAAAUGUAAUAUAAUUUGUGUAUUUCAUUUGUGUUUGGCUUGAUUUAUGGGUUAGAAUAUAUUGAAUUUUGUUGAUUUUGUCUAUCUAUUUAUUUUGUUUGGAGGACUUUGUUUUAAGUUUGUAGUCAAAAUACUUUGUUUUUUUUAUGUAUAAUAAUAAGUUUCAUGUUUUUAGAAAUAUGUUGUAAACUUAAAUUCAAAUGUAAUAUAAUUUAUGUAUUUCAUUUGUCUUUGGUUUGAUUUAUGGGUUAGAAUAUAUUGAAUUUUGUUGAUUUUGUCUAUUUACUGAUUUUGUUUGGAUUAUCGGGUUCAAAAGAGUGAAAUAAGUUUUUUAAUUCAAUUUUUUUUAUAUGAGACGACGGUUCAAUAAAUAUUGUUGUCUCAUGUAUUGCAUGAGACAAUGCUUGUGUAGGAACUGUUGUCGCAUGUAUUGUAGGAGAUGACACUUGUAUAGGAACUGUCGUCUCAUAUAUUGCAUGGACAACGCUUGAAUAGGAACUGUUGUCACAUGUAUAGCAGGGUAUAACGCUUGCACAUGGACCGUUGUCAUAUCCAUAGCAUGGUACAAUGUUUUUAUUUGAACCGUCGUUUCAUGUCUUGCAUGACAUGACAUUGCAUGGGACGACAGUAUCAAAACCGACGUAAGGGAAUUCUUACGACAGUUUAAAACUGUCAUCCCAUGUCAAUUUUUGUAGUAGUGUACGUAUAAUUUCAUAGCACAUUUUAAGUCUAUGAAAAAAUAUGGUUAACUUAUAAUUUGGAAAUGAAUAGUUUAGUUGCUGGUUUGAGUCCGAGCUUUCAUGAUAAUUUCGAAUAAAAAUAAAAUAACAAGAAAAAUCGAAGUAAUAAAAUUCUAGACAUACCCAAGUACAAGGCCUAAACAAUAACAGGUAGGCUAUAUUAAGCAUAAAAAUCCUAGACCUAACUAGGUACACAACCUGAUGCUAACAUGGUCAAUAUUAAGCGUAAAAUUCUGAAAAUAAGUCGGUCUAAAAGAUUUUCUACAACCACACACACACACACACACACACACACACACACACAUAUAUAAACAAGUGUAAAAUAGUAGAAAGGAAUCUUAUAAAUGGCAUGAGUUAAUGAAUCCAGAACGAGGAUAUUAACCUUGAGUAAGUCAAAAUGGCAAAUUGUCUCGGCCUCCAAGGCCUAUUACAAGGGAUAUCAAAUAUCCCCUAAAAAACACUAGAAAAAGUCCACUCCUCAGCCCUGAGUCUCGGUUCUAGCUCCGCUCGAAGACACCUCAUCCUCCCUGUCGAUGGUAGCAACUCCUGAGCCAAGCGAUCCCUGAACUUGGCAAGGUAACAGGCCCAAAGUUUCGCAUCAAGGAAGGAGAAAUCAGCAUCCUAGUUCUAACACCAGACUCGAUAGAACAUUGUAGAGUCCAAAGAACUUUACUUAGCUAGUUAGAUAGUAGUAUAAUAGUAAUAGUAGUAUUAUUGUUAUGACUGUGGAUUUUUGGUUCAGACCGGGAUUUAUUUGGACACUCAUAGUAACACUUGUAGAUUUUCUAAGUUUAACCUAUAGUCUAGGAAUACUAAUUUUAACCUAAGGUUUGAUUAAUAUGACUGAUAUUGAGGGUAGUAUUUAUUAUAUUAUAAGGUUUAGAUAAGACCCAAUAAGAUAAUAACACAUGUCAUGUGUAUGUUUAAUAAUGAUUAAGUAUUUUGAGGAUUAAAUUUAUUAAGGUUAAAAUUUGAAUAUUCUAGGGUCAGUCAGCAGCUUUGAAAACGUUAAAGGGCUUAGUCAAGGCUGUUUACUCAAUUAAAAUUAAGCUAAAAAUGUGUAAUUUCGUGUUUAAAUAUUCAGCUUAUGCCGAUAUAUCGCAGCUAUAGGGGGCGAUAUAUCGCAGCACAAAAAAAAAAAAAAAACGUCGCACGAUUGCCUCGGGCAUACUGGCCCAGGCGAUAUAUUGCCUCCUUCAGGGCAUUUUGAAACAUUUUGAAAUAUUCUCCAUUCAAAUCUUCAACCUCUUAAUAAGUCCAGCAUCUUUCUGAAUGAGUCUUCAGCCUCUGCUGAACGAUAAUUCAAAUGUUUUUCACUUAAAAAGCCAUUAUUUUUAUUCAAGUUAAAUGAAGAUCUUUUCAUUCCUAAACUCUAUAAAUAAGACCUAGUACCCAGCCAUUUAUUCAUCUAUUACUCUAAGUUCAGAGGCUGCAAGUUGCUAGGUUAUUAUAUUGAGAGUGUAAACACUUGGGUUAGGAAUUAUAAGCUUGAUCAUUAUAAGCUUACCAAACACUUGGGAAGUAAGGUUUAUAGCAUUUCGGUUCAAGGUUUAGAUUGGUCAUAUAAGUCUUCAAGGUAUUUCCAAACUCUGGUUCAAUUGGUAUUAUUUUCUUUAAGUUCUCAUAGUCUUCUACUUAGCAUUCUAACCUUACUCUUUGUUCUUGAUUAGGAAAUCUAAGAACUUGCACAUAAGUUUUUGGUAAGUAUAUUCUCAAUGGUAUAUUUCUUCCAUUAUUUUCAUCCCUUUUCUUCAAUAUACUCACCCUGUUAUAAAUGGUUUUUAGGAGUGUUCCAAAGUCCCAACUCUAUCCUCAUAUCUCGGUAAUUUUGGAAAAUAGCUUUAGUGGCGGGAAAGGUUCUUGGAAGCUUGGGGAAUGUGUAUUGAGGCGGAAUGGAUUCAAAGAGCCGAGAGUUUCGAUUCGAGGAUGAAGUCUUUACUUAUGGUUUUAUGUGUAUUUUUCCGCACUUAUUUAUGUAAUCUCUUUUUAAUUACCAUUAUGUUAUGUUUUGAUUUUAAAACAAUGGGAUCCCAUAUCCUACUUGUGAUUUUAUGUAAGUUUAAAAUUUGUUUUUACAAGUUUUUAUAAAGUUAUGAUCUUUUCA